rnacentral:rRNA from 1 species
UACAGAGGUGGCAAGCGUUGUUCGGAAUUACUGGGCGUAAAGGGCGCGUAGGCGGCCAUCUAAGUCAGACGUGAAAUCCCCCGGCUUAACCUGGGAACUGCGUCUGAUACUGGAAGGCUUGAGUAUGGGAGAGGGAUGUAGAAUUCCAGGUGUAGCGGUGAAAUGCGUAGAUAUCUGGAGGAACACCGGUGGCGAAGGCGGCAUCCUGGACCACGACUGACGCUGAGUGAGCGAAAGCCAGGGGAGCAAACGGG